rnacentral:rRNA from 1 species
CAAUAGCGUAUAUUAAAGUUGUUGCAGUUAAAAAGCUCGUAGUUGAAUUUUUGCUUGCCGCCGAUGUCGGAACUUCCGUACGUUCGGCGGCGUGCAUCCUUGGGUGGAACCUGUGUGGCAUUAGGUUGUCGUGCAGGGGAUGCUCAUCGUUUACUGUGAAAAAAUUAGAGUGUUCAAAGCAGGCUUACGCCGUUGAAUAUAUUAGCAUGGAAUAAUAAGAUAGGGCCUUGGUACUAUUUUGUUGGUUUGCGCACCGAGGUAAUGAUUAACAGGGACAGUUGGGGGUAUUCGUAUUCCAUUGUCAGAGGUGAAAUUCUUGGAUUUCUGGAAGACGAACUACUGCGAAAGCAUUUACCAAGGAUGUUUUCAUUA